rnacentral:sRNA from 1 species
UUGACAUCACAGGAGAGGGAAGUCCUCAAUCUACAGAACAGGUACAGCACAAGCAGUGGCAGUGCAACACUGCCCACCAACGUGCCUCACAUCUGAUCUACAGGGAUUUCUUUUGGGGCAAAGGGAGGGAUAUUUCAUUCUCCAUGUUUAUUCAAUCCCUGGUCUCU